rnacentral:rRNA from 1 species
ACAGCAGUCGCCGCGGUAAUACGUAGGUGGCAAGCGUUGUCCGGAAUUAUUGGGCGUGAAGGGCUCGCAGGCGGUUUCUUAAGUCUGAUGUGAAAGCCCCCGGCUCAACCGGGGAGGGUCAUUGGAAACUGGGAAACUUGAGUGCAGAAGAGGAGAGUGGAAUUCCACGUGUAGCGGUGAAAUGCGUAGAGAUGUGGAGGAACACCGGUGGCGAAAGCGGCUCUCUGGUCUGUCACUGACGCUGAGGCUCGAAAGCGUGGGUAGCGAACAGGAUUAGAUACCCCGGUAGUCCCUGUCUCUUAUAC